AUUGAACGCUGGCGGCAUGCCUUACACAUGCAAGUCGAGCGGCAGCGCGGGGGCAACCCUGGCGGCGAGCGGCGAACGGGUGAGUAAUGCAUCGGAACGUGUCCUCUUGUGGGGGAUAACCAGUCGAAAGACUGGCUAAUACCGCAUGAGAUCGCAAGAUGAAAGCAGGGGACCCGCAAGGGCCUUGCGCGAGAGGAGCGGCCGAUGCCUGAUUAGCUAGUUGGUGGGGUAAAAGCCUACCAAGGCGACGAUCAGUAGCUGGUCUGAGAGGACGACCAGCCACACUGGGACUGAGACACGGCCCAGACUCCUGCGGGAGGCAGCAGUGGGGAAUUUUGGACAAUGGGGGCAACCCUGAUCCAGCCAUGCCGCGUGUGCGAAGAAGGCCUUCGGGUUGUAAAGCACUUUCGGCCGGAACGAAAUCGUCACCGUUAAUAGCGGUGAUGGAUGACGGUACCGGAAGAAGAAGCACCGGCUAACUACGUGCCAGCCGCCGCAGUAA
rnacentral:rRNA from 1 species